CUAUGCGCCUUGCCAGCCCGCUCAGGUGUGCCAGCAGCCGCGGUAAUACGUAGGGGGCAAGCGUUAUCCGGAUUUACUGGGUGUAAAGGGAGCGUAGACGGCGAUGCAAGUCUGAAGUGAAAGGCGGGGGCCCAACCCCCGGACUGCUUUGGAAACUGUAUGGCUGGAGUGCAGGAGAGGCAGGCGGAAUUCCUGGUGUAGCGGUGAAAUGCGUAGAUAUCAGGGGGAACACCGGUGGCGAAGGCGGCCUGCUGGACUGCAACUGACGUUGAGCCCGAAAGCGUGGGGAGCAAACAGG
rnacentral:rRNA from 1 species